rnacentral:rRNA from 1 species
AGCGUACACGGUGGAUGCCCUGGCAGUCAGAGGCGAUGAAGGACGUGCUAAUCUGCGAAAAGCGCCGGCGAGGUGAUAUGAACCUUUGACCCGGCGAUGUCCGAAUGGGGAAACCCAGUGCAAUUCGUUGCACUAUCGUUAACUGAAUACAUAGGUUAACGAGGCGAACCGGGGGAACUGAAACAUCUAAGUACCCCGAGGAAAAGAAAUCAACCGAGAUUCCCCCAGUAGCGGCGAGCGAACGGGGAGCAGCCCGGAGUCUGAAUCAGCUUGUGUGUUAGUGGAACGGUCUGGAAAGUCCGACGGUACAGGGUGAUAGUCCCGUACACGAAAAUGCACAGGUUGUGAACUCGAAGAGUAGGGCGGGACACGUGGUAUCCUGUCUGAAUAUGGGGGGACCAUCCUCCAAGGCUAAAUACUCCUGACUGACCGAUAGUGAACCAGUACCGUGAGGGAAAGGCGAAAAGAACCCCGGCGAGGGGAGUGAAAAAGAACCUGAAACCGUGUACGUACAAGCAGUGGGAGCCUACUUGUUAGGUGACUGCGUACCUUUUGUAUAAUGGGUCAGCGACUUAUAUUCUGUAGCAAGGUUAACCGUAUAGGGGAGCCGAAGGGAAACCGAGUCUUAACUGGGCGUUAAGUUGCAGGGUAUAGACCCGAAACCCGGUGAUCUAGCCAUGGGCAGGUUGAAGGUUGGGUAACACUAACUGGAGGACCGAACCGACUAAUGUUGAAAAAUUAGCGGAUGACCUGUGGCUGGGGGUGAAAGGCCAAUCAAACCGGGAGAUAGCUGGUUCUCCCCGAAAGCUAUUUAGGUAGCGCCUCGUGAAUUCAUCUUCGGGGGUAGAGCACUGUUUCGGCUAGGGGGCCAUCCCGGCUUACCAACCCGAUGCAAACUACGAAUACCGAAGAAUGUUAUCACGGGAGACACACGGCGGGUGCUAACGUCCGUCGUGAAGAGGGAAACAACCCAGACCGCCAGCUAAGGUCCCAAAGUCAUGGUUAAGUGGGAAACGAUGUGGGAAGGCACAGACAGCCAGGAUGUUGGCUUAGAAGCAGCCAUCAUUUAAAGAAAGCGUAAUAGCUCACUGGUCGAGUCGGCCUGCGCGGAAGAUGUAACGGGGCUAAACCAUGCACCGAAGCUGCGGCAGCGACGCUUAUGCGUUGUUGGGUAGGGGAGCGUUCUGUAAGCCGUUGAAGGUGGCCUGUGAGGGUUGCUGGAGGUAUCAGAAGUGCGAAUGCUGACAUAAGUAACGAUAAAGCGGGUGAAAAGCCCGCUCGCCGGAAGACCAAGGGUUCCUGUCCAACGUUAAUCGGGGCAGGGUGAGUCGACCCCUAAGGCGAGGCCGAAAGGCGUAGUCGAUGGGAAACAGGUUAAUAUUCCUGUACUUGGUGUUACUGCGAAGGGGGGACGGAGAAGGCUAUGUUAGCCGGGCGACGGUUGUCCCGGUUUAAGCAUGUAGGCGGAGGUUCCAGGUAAAUCCGGUACCUUUUAACGCUGAGGUGUGAUGACGAGGCACUACGGUGCUGAAGUAACAAAUGCCCUGCUUCCAGGAAAAGCCUCUAAGCAUCAGGUAACACGAAAUCGUACCCCAAACCGACACAGGUGGUCAGGUAGAGAAUACCAAGGCGCUUGAGAGAACUCGGGUGAAGGAACUAGGCAAAAUGGUGCCGUAACUUCGGGAGAAGGCACGCUGAUAUGUAGGUGAAGCCCCUGCGGGUGGAGCUGAAAUCAGUCGAAGAUACCAGCUGGCUGCAACUGUUUAUUAAAAACACAGCACUGUGCAAACACGAAAGUGGACGUAUACGGUGUGACGCCUGCCCGGUGCCGGAAGGUUAAUUGAUGGGGUUAGCGGCAACGCGAAGCUCUUGAUCGAAGCCCCGGUAAACGGCGGCCGUAACUAUAACGGUCCUAAGGUAGCGAAAUUCCUUGUCGGGUAAGUUCCGACCUGCACGAAUGGCGUAAUGAUGGCCAGGCUGUCUCCACCCGAGACUCAGUGAAAUUGAACUCGCUGUGAAGAUGCAGUGUACCCGCGGCAAGACGGAAAGACCCCGUGAACCUUUACUAUAGCUUGACACUGAACACUGGUCCUUGAUGUGUAGGAUAGGUGGGAGGCUUUGAAGCGUGGACGCCAGUCUGCGUGGAGCCGCCCUUGAAAUACCACCCUUUAAUGGCUGGUGUUCUAACGUAGACCCGUGAUCCGGGUUGCGGACAGUGUCUGGUGGGUAGUUUGACUGGGGCGGUCUCCUCCUAAAGAGUAACGGAGGAGCACGAAGGUUGGCUAAUCCUGGUCGGACAUCAGGAGGUUAGUGCAAUGGCAUAAGCCAGCUUGACUGCGAGCGUGACGGCGCGAGCAGGUGCGAAAGCAGGUCAUAGUGAUCCGGUGGUUCUGAAUGGAAGGGCCAUCGCUCAACGGAUAAAAGGUACUCCGG